UGCCAGCCGCCGCGGUAAUACGGAGGGGGUUAGCGUUGUUCGGAAUUACUGGGCGUAAAGCGCACGUAGGCGGAUCAGAAAGUAUGGGGUGAAAUCCCAGGGCUCAACCCUGGAACUGCCUCAUAAACUCCUGGUCUAGAGUUCGAGAGAGGUGAGUGGAAUUCCGAGUGUAGGGGUGAAAUCCGUAGAUAUUCGGAGGAACACCAGUGGCGAAGGCGGCUAACUGGCUCGGUACUGACGCUGAGAUGCGAAAGCGUGGGGAGCAAACAGGAUUAGAUA
rnacentral:rRNA from 1 species